UGCGGUUAUACAAAAAUUAAAUUAAUUUUUUUUAGGGUUUAAUAAAUAUAAUGUUAAAUAAAUAAUUUAAAUUUUUAUUUAUAAAGUGAAAUUUUAAUUAAAUUAAAAUUUAUUUAUUUUUAUGAUAUUAAUAAAUUUUAUAAAAAACUAGGAUUAGAUACCCUACUAUAAAAAUUUAAAUUUAACAAUCUUAAAAUAGUAUAUAAUUUUUUAUAAAAACUUAAAUAAUUUGGCGGUAUUUUAGUUCAUUUAGAGGAAUCUGUCUAAUAAUUGAUAAUCCACGAUUAAAUUUACUUAAUUUUUAAUUUUGUAUAUCGUUGUUAAAAAAAUAUUUUUAAAUAAUUAUAAUAUUUUAAAAUUUAUAUAAAAAAUUAAAUCAGAUCAAGAUGCAGAUUAUAAUUAAGAAUAUGAUGGAUUACAAUAAAUUUUAUUUUAUUUGGAUAUUAAUUUGAAAUAAAUUGAUUGAAAUUGGAUUUAAAUGUAAUUUUAUUAAUUUUGUUAAGAUGAUUUUAAAUUAAAAUAUGUACAUAUUGCCCGUCGCUUUCAUUAAUAAAUUGAAAUAAGUCGUAACAAAGUAGAGGUACUGGAAAGUGUUUCUAGAAAGAU
rnacentral:rRNA from 1 species